GCUUGGGUGGCUCAAUGGUUGAGCGUCUGCCUUUGACUCAGGAUGAUCCUGGGAUUGGGGAUCAAGUCCCUCAUCAGGCU
rnacentral:tRNA from 1 species